GAUGAACGCUGGCGGCGUGCUUAACACAUGCAAGUCGAACGAAGCACCUUGAUUUGAUUCUUCGGAUGAAGAUCUUGGUGACUGAGUGGCGGACGGGUGAGUAACGCGUGGGUAACCUGCCUCAUACAGGGGGAUAACAGUUAGAAAUGACUGCUAAUACCGCAUAAGACCACAGCACCGCAUGGUGCAGGGGUAAAAACUCCGGUGGUAUGAGAUGGACCCGCGUCUGAUUAGGUAGUUGGUGGGGUAACGGCCUACCAAGCCAACGAUCAGUAGCCGACCUGAGAGGGUGACCGGCCACAUUGGGACUGAGACACGGCCCAAACUCCUACGGGAGGCAGCAGUGGGGAAUAUUGCACAAUGGGGGAAACCCUGAUGCAGCGACGCCGCGUGAGCGAUGAAGUAUUUCGGUAUGUAAAGCUCUAUCAGCAGGGAAGAAAAUGACGGUACCUGACUAAGAAGCACCG
rnacentral:rRNA from 1 species